UACGUAGGGUGCGAGCGUUAUUCGGAAUUACUGGGCGUAAAGCGUGCGCAGGCGGUUUUGCAAGUCAGAUGUGAAAUCCCCGGGCUUAACCUGGGAAUUGCAUUUGUGACUGCACGGCUAGAGUGUGUCAGAGGGGGGUAGAAUUCCACGUGUAGCAGUGAAAUGCGUAGAUAUGUGGAGGAAUACCGAUGGCGAAGGCAGCCCCCUGGGAUAACACUGACGCUCAUGCACGAAAGCGUGGGGAGCAAACAGG
rnacentral:rRNA from 1 species